rnacentral:ncRNA from 24 species
CGGGGCGAGUGAGGGAGUCCGAACCGGAGUAGCCGACUCGGCGGAAAGCGGAAGGUUCGCUUACGCCGCUGCCGACGUCGACGGUCCGGGCUGAGAGGCCGGAAGGCAGCAGUCGGGCCGGAAGGCGACCCCCAAUACCUGAUCCGGAUCAUGCCGGCGCAGGGAACCCGUCUCGUAGGUCC